GACACAAGUAUGAACAAGUGCAGAAGAAAGACCAUGUAGAGAGACAAAUAGAUGGUCAUCUAUAACCAAAAGAGAAACCCAAGAAACAUCUAAUCUUGCUUUUGGACUUCAAGCCUCCAGAAAUGACCUGCCCUGUCCCUGAGGUAGCACCACUCCUUGCUGGUGGAAUAAAGGAGGUGCUUCCUUGGUCCUAGAGGGAGCCAAGUUGGAACAGUUCAUGGUGUUCUACAAACAGAUGUCCGUCUCUGAAGGCAAACCUUAGAGUGAAUGAACUUUAUACUGGCCAUCUGGAAACAAGCCACAGAUGACUACCUGUCCUGGGAAAGGUCCUUGAAAGCAGUGACAAUAAAGACCCAGAAACAGAAAACAACCCAACAGGAAGGAAGUGAAGGACAACUACAGAAUGAUUUUACUCAUGAGUAGAAUAAAGAGAAUUGAAACACAUAAACUUGAGUAUAUAUUCAGCUCGUAUCUGUGACCUUGGGAGAACUAUGAUGGUCACUGCUGG